rnacentral:rRNA from 1 species
CCUACGGGAGGCAGCAGUGGGGAAUAUUGGGCAAUGGGCGCAAGCCUGACCCAGCAACGCCGCGUGAAGGAAGAAGGCUUUCGGGUUGUAAACUUCUUUUCUCAGUGACGAAGCAAGUGACGGUACCUGAGGAAUAAGCCACUGCCAACUUCGUGCCAGCAGCCGCGGUAAUACGUAGGUGGCCAGCGUUAUCCGGAUGUACUGGGUGUAAAGGGCGUGUAGGCGGGUCUGCAAGUCAGAGGUGAAAACCAAGGGCUCAACCUGUGGCCUGCAUUUGAAACUGUAGUUGUUGAGUAAUGGAGAGGAAGACGGAAUGCCUAGUGUAGCGGUGAAAUGCGUAGAUAUUAGGAGGAACACCAGUGGCGAAGGCGGUCAGCUGGACAGCAACUGACGCUGAGGCGCGAAAGCGUGGGGAGCAAACAGGAUUAGAUACCCCUGUAGUC